rnacentral:rRNA from 1 species
UACGAAGGGGCUAGCGUUGCUCGGAAUCACUGGGCGUAAAGCGCACGUAGGCGGCUUACUAAGUCAGGGGUGAAAUCCUGGAGCUCAACUCCAGAACUGCCUUCGAUACUGGCGAUCUCGAGUUCCGGGAGAGGUGAGUGGAACUGCGAGUGUAGAGGUGAAAUUCGUAGAUAUUCGCAAGAACACCAGUGGCGAAGGCGGCUCACUGGCCCGAUACUGACGCUGAGGUGCGAAGCGUGGGAGCAAACAGGG